GCACUCGUAGCUCAGCUUGGAUACUGCAAAAUUCGGAGAAUUUUGCCGGAUUUGCGUAGAGCAAAUAGAGCACUUGCCUCCUAAGCAAGGGGUCGGGGGUUCGAAUCCCCUCGAGUGCG
rnacentral:tRNA from 1 species